CAGGUCGAGCAAGGAUGAAAAUCGGACUUAGUGAUCCGGUGGUUCUGCGUGGAAGGGCCAUCGCUCAACGGAUAAAAGCUACCCUGGGGAUAACAGGCUUAUCUCCCCCAAGAGUCCACAUCGACGGGGAGGUUUGGCACCUCGAUGUCGGCUCAUCACAUCCUGGGGCUGUAGUAGGUCCCAAGGGUUGGGCUGUUCGCCCAUUAAAGUGGUACGCGAGCUGGGUUCAGAACGUCGUGAGACAGUUCGGUCCCUAUCCGUCGCAGGCGUAGGAAAUUUGAGAAGACCUGUCCUUAGUACGAGAGGACCGGGAUGGACGUACCUCUGGUGUACCAGUUGUCCUGCCAAGGGCAUGGCUGGGUAGCUAUGUACGGAAUGGAUAAGCGCUGAAAGCAUCUAAGCGCGAAGCCAACUUCAAGAUAAGAUUUCCCACCGCAAGGGUAAGACCCCAGAAAGACUAUCUGGUUGAUAGGUCGAAGGUGUAAGUGCAGUAAUGUAUUUAGCUUAUCGAUACUAAUAGGUCGAGGACUUGACCAAU
rnacentral:rRNA from 1 species